rnacentral:rRNA from 1 species
CGGGUCGCUCCAGCAGUGGGGAAUAUUGGACAAUGGGGGAAACCCUGAUCCAGCAAUGUCGCGUGUGUGAAGAAGGCCUGCGGGUUGUAAAGCACUUUCGGUUGGGAGGACUGCUUCUAGCACUAAUAUUGUUGGAAGUUGACGUUACCUUCAGAAGAAGCACCGGCUAACUCCGUGCCAGCAGCCGCGGUAAUACGGAGGGUGCAAGCGUUAAUCGGAAUUACUGGGCGUAAAGCGCGCGUAGGCGGCUAGAUCAGUCGGGUGUGAAAGCCCCGGGCUUAACCUGGGAACUGCAUCCGAUACUGUCUAGCUUGAGUACAGGAGAGGAGAGUGGAAUUCCACAUGUAGCGGUGAAAUGCGUAGAUAUGUGGAGGAACACCAAUGGCGAAGGCAGCUCUCUGGCCUGAUACUGACGCUGAGGUGCGAAAGCGCGGGGAGCAAACAGGAUUAGAUACCCGGGUAGUC